GGUCUGGUGGUCUAGUGGUAUGAUUCUCGCUUAGGGUCCACCCUAAUCAAUCCUGCGAGAGGCCCCGGGUUCAAAUCCCGGCCAGACCC